rnacentral:rRNA from 1 species
UACGGGGGGGCAAGGCGUUGUUCGGAAUUACUGGGCGUAAAGGGCUCGUAGGCGGCCAACUAAGUCAGACGUGAAAUCCCUCGGCUUAACCGGGGAACUGCGUCUGAUACUGGAUGGCUUGAAUCCGGGAGAGGGAGUGCGGAAUUCCCGGUGUAGCGGUGAAAUGUGUAGAGAGUCGGGAGGAACACCGGUGGCGAAGGCGGGUCUCUGGGCAAUUCCUGACGCUGAGGCGCGAAAGCGUGGGGAGCAAACGGGG